UUGCGGCGGUGCGCGCGCGGCGCCGGCGGCCAUGGCGGGAAGCGAGCCGCGCAGCGGAGGCGGCUCCCCUCAGCCCCACCACAGCGACUGGGGCCGCUUGGAGGCGGCCAUCCUCAGCGGCUGGAGGAGCUUCUGGCAGUCGGUGGGCAAGGAGCGGACGGCGCCGAGCGCCCCGCGAGAGGAGGCGGAUGUGGAGGCGGACGAGGAGACGAGCGCCCUGACGCGGCUGCCGAUUGACGUACAGCUGUAUAUUUUGUCAUUUCUUUCACCUCAUGAUCUGUGUCAUUUGGGAAGUACAAGUCGUUAUUGGAAUGAAACUGUACGAGAUCCAAUUCUGUGGAGAUAUUUUCUGUUGCGGGAUCUUCCUUCUUGGUCUUCUGUUGACUGGAAAUCUCUCCCUGAUCUAGAAAUCUUAAAAAAGCCUAUGUCUGAGGUCACUGACGGUACAUUUUUUGACUACAUGGCAGUCUAUAAAAUGUGCUGUCCAAAUACCAGAAGAUCCUCGAAAUCUAGCCGUCCUAUGUAUGGAGCUGUCACCUCAUUUUUACACUCGUUGAUCAUUCAGAAUGAACCACGAUUUGCUAUGUUUGGACCAGGUUUGGAAGAACUGAAUACAUCUUUGGUGUUGAGUUUGAUGUCUUCUGAGGAACUUUGCCCAACAGCUGGUUUGCCUCAGAGGCAGAUUGAUGGUAUUGGAUCAGGAGUCAAUUUUCAGUUGAGCAAUCAACAUAAAUUCAACAUCCUUAUAUUAUAUUCAACUACCAGAAAGGAAAGAGACAGAGCAAGAGAAGAGCAUACAAGUGCAGUUAACAAGAUGUUCAGUCUACAGAAUGAAGGGGAUGUUCAACUAGGAACCCGGUACAGUGUAAUUCCACAAAUUCGGAAGGUGUGUGAAGUUGUUGAUGGGUUCAUCUAUGUUGCAAAUGCUGAAGCUCAUAAAAGACAUCAAUGGCAAGAUGAAUAUUUUCGUAUUAUGGCAAUGACAGAUCCAGCCUUUGGAUCUUCAGGAAGACCAGUGCUGGUUUUAUCUUGUAUUUCUCAAGCGAAUGUAAAAAGAAUGCCUUGUUUUUAUUUGGCCCAUGAGCUGCAGCUGAAUGAUCUCAACCAACCAUGGAUGGUCCAGGAUACAGAAGCUGAAACUCUGACUGGUUUUUUGAAUGGCAUUCAGUGGAUUCUUGAAGAAGUAGAAUCCAAGCAUGCAAGAUGAUUGUUUUAGACUUUGGGAACUGAAACCAUUUGACACUUGUUAUAAAGGUCAUGAUGAUGUGGAUAUUUGCUCAAUCAGCUCAUUUUGUCCUGCCUUUUUGCAGGGAGCCAUUCCAUGGAACUUCUCAUGCUGUUAUGCCAAAAAUGGACCCCCUUAUUUUGAAUAUAUGGAGUUAUGUCACCUCAUUCGUUUCUGAUACUGGUGUUAUCAAAGAACCAGAUUUAGGUUUUAUUGAUUUAUGCUAUAUUCUAUUUAAUUGAUAUAUGUAUGCCCUGCUCUCUAUUUUUCUGCUUUUUAAUUUUUUCCAAUUUUUUAAUUUUCUCUUUUUAGUUUAUUAAGAUAGAAACUUAGGUCAUUGAUUCUAGUUAUUUGUUUUUUAAAAUAAGCAUUUAAAGCUAUAGAUUUUUUCUCUAAGCUCUCUUUAGCUAUAGCCACACAUUUUGAUAUAUUGUAUAUUAUUAUUUAGUUAAAAAAACAAGUAUUUUCUAAUCCCUUGUGAUUACUUUUCAACCGAUUAUUUAGUUUUUACAGUGCUGUUUAAUGUUUAUUUCCUAGAUGUUUUGUUAUUGAUAUCUAAUUCAGUUCUCUUUUAAUCAAAGAAUAUUCUCUGUAAAAUUUCAGUCUUUUUAAAAUUUAUUGAGAGUUGCUUCAUGGCCCAGUUUAUGGUCUAUUCUGGUGAAUGUUCCAUGUGCACUUGACAGGAGUUUAUAUCCUGUAGUCAUUAGGUGGGAUAUUUUAUAAUUACCUAUUAGAUCAAGGUAGUUAGUUGAUAAUGUUCAGAUAUUCUAUAUGGCUAUAUUGAUUUUUGCAUAGUUUUAUUGAUUACAAAUAGAGAGGCAUUAAAAUCUUCAACUGAUUGUAGAAUUGCUUUUUUUUAAAUUCUGUUAACUUUUGCUUCAUAUAUUUUGAUGCUGUUUUUGGGUGCACACACAGAUGAUUACUGUAUUUUCCUGGUGAAUUGGCCCUCUUAUAAUUGUGAAAUGUCCGUUUUGCUGAUAAUACUCAUUGUCUUGAAAUCCAUUCUUUGAUAUUAAUAUAACCAUUUCAUCUUUAAGAAUAUAUAUAUUGCUCUAUUGGUACAUCUUUUCUAUUCAUUCAUAGUCAACUUGAAUCUGUCUUUAUAUUUUAAGUGUAUCUCUUAUAAGUAGAAUAUAAUAAAGCUUGUUUUUUCUA